rnacentral:rRNA from 1 species
GACGAACGCUGGCGGCGUGCUUAACACAUGCAAGUCGAGCGGAAAGGCCCUUCGGGGUACUCGAGCGGCGAACGGGUGAGUAACACGUGAGUAACCUGCCCCAGACUUUGGGAUAACCCUCGGAAACGGGGGCUAAUACCGGAUACGACACAGCUUCGCAUGGGGUCUGUGUGGAAAGUUUUUCGGUUUGGGAUGGGCUCGCGGCCUAUCAGCUUGUUGGUGGGGUGAUGGCCUACCAAGGCGACGACGGGUAGCCGGCCUGAGAGGGCGACCGGCCACACUGGGACUGAGACACGGCCCAGAGUCCUACGGGAGGCAGCAGUGGGGAAUAUUGCACAAUGGGCGGAAGCCUGAUGCAGCGACGCCGCGUGAGGGAUGACGGCCUGCGGGUUGUAAACCUCUGUCAGCAGGGACGAAGCGUAAGUGACGGUACCUGCAGAAGAAGCGCCGGCCAACUACGUG